CUGCAUUCACUGAUAGACCUUAACCAAUUUGCUAUGGUUCUUUUGGUUUGCUGUAGGAUGCAAAAGGAAAAAAAAAAAAAUCU
rnacentral:snoRNA from 1 species